UCUUUGUCUGGGAUGUUUCUGGAUGAAAUUCAGGAAGAUUAAGCCAAUUAUCAAUGAAGAUGCAUCUGAUCUUGAGGAUGGAUCUUAUUUCCCUAUGGUUCUUGUACAGAUUCCCAUGUGCAAUGAAAAAGAGGUUUUUGCCCAAUCAAUUGGUGCUGUUUGUCAGCUGGAUUGGCCAAAAGACCGAUUCUUGGUACAAGUAUUGGAUGAUUCAGAUGAUGAAGUCCUGCAGCAAAUGAUCAAGAAUGAAUGUGUAUCCUGGAAAGAGAAAGGAGUCAACAUUAUCUACAGACAUCGGUUCAUCCGAACUGGUUACAAAGCUGGCAAUCUUAAAUCUGCAAUGACUUGUGACUAUGUUCAGGACUAUGAAUUUGUUGCAAUUUUUGACGCGGAUUUCCAACCAAAUCCUGAUUUCCUUAAACUGACUGUUCCUCAUUUUAAGGGAAAACCGGAUGUUGGACUUGUUCAAGCACGCUGGACCUUCGUUAAUCAGGAUGAGAACUUACUUACUAGGCUUCAGAACAUUAACUUGUGCUUCCAUUUUGAGGUGGAACAACAAGUGAAUGGUCACUAUCUCAAUUUCUUUGGAUUCAAUGGAACAGCUGGUGUUUGGAGAAUUAAGGCUUUGGAGGAGUCUGGCGGAUGGUUGGAACGGACAACUGUUGAGGACAUGGAUAUCGCUGUCAGAGCACACUUGUAUGGCUGGAAAUUUAUCUAUGUUAAUGAUGUAAGGGCACUUUGCGAGUUACCAGAAUCAUAUGAGGCUUACAAGAAACAGCAGCACCGUUGGCAUUCUGGUCCUAUGCAGCUCUUUAGACUAUGUCUUCCUGCAAUCCUGACUUCCAAGAUCUCUAUCUGGAAGAAGGCGAACAUGAUAUUCCUUUUCUUUCUUCUAAGGAAGCUUGUAUUACCCUUUUACUCAUUCACAUUGUUCUGUAUCAUACUUCCAUUAACAAUGUUCAUACCAGAAGCCCAGUUGCCCGCUUGGGUUAUCUGUUAUGUCCCUAUAGUCAUGUCCAUUUUGAACAUCCUUCCGGCACCAAAGUCUUUCCCUUUCCUAAUGCCAUACCUCCUAUUCGAGAACACAAUGUCGGUGACAAAAUUCAAUGCCAUGGUCUCGGGGCUAUUUCAGUUGGGAAGUGCCUAUGAAUGGGUGGUCACCAAGAAAACAGGCAGAUCAUCUGAAUCAGACUUGCUAGCAUUUGCUGAGGAGGAAUCAAAGAAAAUGAACGAAGAGAAAAUAUCAAGAAGGUUAUCUGAAUCUGGUCUAGAACUAUACGGAAAACUAAAAGAACAUGAACAAGAGAUUCCGAAGAAAAAGAAGGCAAACAAAAUCUACAGGAAGGAAUUAGCGCUUGCUUUUCUUUUGCUGACUGCAGCUGCAAGAAGCCUGUUAUCUGCACAAGGCAUACAUUUCUAUUACUUGCUGUUUCAAGGCUUAACUUUUCUUAUAGUUGGCUUGGAUUUAAUUGGAGAACAAGUCAGCUAGCUAAAGCAAAGAGUUUUAAUAUUUUAUUUGGAACAUCAUCAUCUGUUUAGAGACCAAAAUUUCCAGUUGAGUAGCAAUCAAAACUUGGCUGCAAACUGGGACUUUCACCAUAAGAAUAGUUACAGGUGAAUUUUAAACAAUAGCAUACUCACAUUCAUUCAUAUAUACUUUUUUAUUUUAUUUCUUUUCAUUUGUGAAAUUUGUAAUUGCCUUUACUAUAUCAAGCAAAAUAAUGAAUUGGAAAUAUUGUUU
rnacentral:misc_RNA from 1 species